rnacentral:tRNA from 1 species
AUUUAAGUAGCUUAAAAAAAGCACAAUGUUGAAGCCAUUAAGAUGAACUCCUGUUCCUUGAAUA